GGUUAUGAAAAAACCGAAUUUAGAAUUAUGCAGCAGCUGUGUGACUGUGUCACUUAUGUGUGGCCAGAACUGAAUUGAAUAAAAAGUAAAAUUUAGAUUCAGAAUAAGAGGAAAACACAUGGCGGAGAUAAAUUUCGAGUUUGAGGAUUCGAGCGUUCAGGUGAGGUUAUCAGCCCUGUGUAACAUACCAAUCUGUAUAAUCAGAUCUGUGUGAUGAUUGUGUAUUGCCUGGAUGUUGGUGUUGUUGCGUUGGUUGAUUGUUUAUUGAUCGGAGAAGGGAGUCCGGCGUUGGCGUGUAGCCGGAGUGGUGGUGAAGAGGGCGGCAACGACGCCGCAUCUGCAGGUCGAGGGAGGCUAUGGGAGAGAUGAAGAAGGUUGUGCUCGGUGUUUCCGGUGGCGCGACAGGCUGUUGGCCGGAAUUGAUGGGAAGGGCAGAGGCGGAGAGCUUGUAACUAGGGAGUGGGUUUGUUAGAUUAGGGUUGUGCGUGUGUACUGAGUCACGACCUCACGAGUUGUAAGUCUCUCAUGUGUAUGUGAU
rnacentral:lncRNA from 1 species